GGGAGAGCAGGGCCGGGAUGUUGGUGCCUGGUCCAGGAGAAGGGAGGGGGCGAUGGGCAAAGGGGUCAGGCCGAGGGAGCAGGCGGGGCAUCGGGAGUUGAGGGCGCCGAGUGGGGGUGGGAGGACGAGGGGUCCGGCCGGUGCAGAGGGGGAGGCGGCCCCCGGGGAGGGGCACGCUAUGUCUUUAAGAGCUGCCUGAGCGCAGGUUGCAGCUGCCUGGCCAGCCCGAGAGACAGCGGAGAUUCAUUACCCGCCGACACAAUGACCAUUGAUGGCCCCGUGGCGUUAUUCAAAUCCAGUACCAAUUGCAGCCGAGCCCCUUUCUCCGCGCCAGGCCCGUAUUGUUGGAGCGGCCCACUAAAAGCCCGCCCCGGCCCCGAGCCGCCAGAGGCGCCCGCUCGGGUUCAGCCCUGCGCCUCGCCAGCCCGCCGGCUCCCAGUCCGGCUCCCCGGGCGCUGCAGGUGACCCGGCGGCGCAUUCCAGCACUCCCCGCCGCCCGGGCCACCGCCGCCACAGCCACCGCCGGCGCCCCGGCCGCGACUCAGCCACAGGAAAGCGGAGAGCGCCCGAGCCGCCCCUCAGGACGGACUGGUGGGCUGAGCCUCCUCCAGCCGCUGCCAGGGUCCGACAGCCAAGCGUCGCCAACGAUGCGCUCCAGCCGGGCAAUCACCUCGGCUUUGGAAACAGAACUUGGAAAAACGAAUCCUUUUCAUUAAAGAAAAAUCUUCGGAGAUA